CGGUAUGUGGCAACACAUAGAGUGGCGAACGGGUGAGUAACACGUGGGAACGUACCAUCUGCAGGGGGAUAACUGACCGAAAGGACAGCUAAUACCGCAUAAGUCCGGAAGGAGAAAGGUGCAAUAGCAUCGGCAGAAGAGCGGCCCGCGGUCCAUCAGCUAGUUGGUGAGGUAAGGGCUUACCAAGGCGACGACGGAUAGCCGGCGUGAGAGCGUGGCCGGCCACAAGGACA
rnacentral:rRNA from 1 species